rfam:Schistosoma mansoni strain Puerto Rico chromosome 2, complete genome
AUUCAACUGACCAGUCCCAAAAUAGGACGAAACGCAUGUCCUGGAU